GGGGUUGUACUGGUUUCGACGGGGGCUAUGAAGCUGGUGAAGCUAUCCGCAUGCAAUGCGUCAAAUGGCAAACCUAAAUAUAAACGCUAACGACAACGAAUUAGCAUACGCAGCCUAAUUUAGGCAGCUGUCGGCCCCGGGGCACUCACAUCCCGGGAUCCCGGCAUCAUCUUUGUGAGAAACGACACGUGCAAAGCUUUGAGCACGCGGGCGUAUGAUGAAGCUACUGAACGCAUCCGGGUGUCUGUUCCCGGCUGCGGGAGGGAAUAAAUAAGAACAGACUAUGAUAGUAGAAGAACAGGGGAUUGGUUUUCGGACAGGGGUUCGAUUCCCCUCAGCUCCAC
rnacentral:tmRNA from 1 species